rnacentral:tRNA from 1 species
GGGGUUGUGAUCUAGCUUGGAAUGAUGCCAGGCUGGGGGUCUGGUAACCGGAGUUCAAAUCUCCGCAACCCCA